rnacentral:misc_RNA from 1 species
UGGCCUUGACAUGUCCGGAAUCCUGCAGAGAUGCGGGAGUGCCUUCGGGAAUCGGAACACAGGUGCUGCAUGGCUGUCGUCAGCUCGUGUCGUGAGAUGUUGGGUUAAGUCCCGCAACGAGCGCAACCCUUGUCCUUAGUUGCCAGCACGUAAUGGUGGGAACUCUAAGGAGACUGCCGGUGACAAACCGGAGGAAGGUGGGGAUGACGUCCUUGCUAGGUAA